AGUGGAGACUUCUGCAGAAAAGGUCACUUACACUGAGCUGGCAUUCAACAGAACAAACACAGAGGAGUCGGAAGUUAAAGAGGACAGUCAUGUGGAUUAUGCACCAAUAACGAUGAGGUGAUCAGACGUCAAUGUUGUUCUUAGAACAAGUAGCUUGUGAUCAUUUUCACUAGAAACCUCCAGAAAUGACCACAGAUUCUGAGUCAACGGUUAGGCUUUGAGAUCACCACAUUGCAUCUGGUCUCCUAAAACUUCAAAAGACUCAACCUUGAAAUACAAUGAGCUUUAAUGAAUUAUGUAACUCUUACAGCCCAAAGAAGCAUUUUCAUUGUUCACUCUUAAAGUUAAAUGUGCAAACUGUAGAUGCAAACUAUACUCAUCAAAAGAAAUGGAGACCCCGUUGUGGUAUCGAUUAUUUACAUCUCUAUAGAAAAUGUGGUUUGAUCUGCUGAUAGACAAACAGCUUGUGCAUGAGAAUGUUUGAUGUCUGUUCGUGAGUGUAUAUGAGGUGUGAGAAGUGCAUCUGUGUCAAUAGCUUGUGGUUGAAGGGCUUUUUUCCAUUCUUGCUUACCUGAAAGCAUCGACUUCUGCUCUAAAGAGAAACCACUUUACUAUAUAAUACUGAACUCAUCAAUUCUGCUGUUUGACAAAAUGGUUUCAAAACAAGCAGUGGUAUCACUGUUCAUAUUAGUACAUGAAAAUAUCACAUGCACAAAUGCAUCAUGAUCUUAUAUAAUCAUGCAGUGAUCCUGCAACUAAGUAGUGCUAGUUUCAGAAGUUAUUUCCAGCUCAACACUUCUUUCUAAGCAGAACUAUUCUUAUAAAUGUCAUAUCCUGUUUUUUUUUUUUUCUUCUUCUGCCAGUGUCUGGGUCUUUUAAGGAAAUCACGCAAUGCAUGAUUUACAAUGUAUAAUUUAUGUUUGAUGUAUUUGGUUUUCAUCGGUUUUGAGGAGAAACUAACUAAACAAUGCUAACCAGCUUGAUUCAAGGUUGACCACCUUUUAGCAUGGCAGGGCUCCUGUGUAAACACUAAAUAUGAAACAGUUCCUGUGUUGUUUGUGAGUACAGUUAACAAGGAAUAAAUAAAUAUUUUAAAAUGUG